CCAAUCUUCCUUACCAAAAAAAAAAAAAAAAAAAUUGCAAAUAGCAAGGAACCCAGAGUUUUAGAGACCAGUAAAUACCUAUCCAUAUAGUCACUGUCCAUUGCUUCACUGAAGGUGGCUUCAUGGCUAAGGCAGAGGCCAAAUGAUUUCAUCCUGGAGAAGAGAAACACUCCCUCUUGGAAAUCUACACCAGCUCAUCUUGUUUUGGCCUGGACUUAAUCUACAAAGCCUACAGUAAAACCUGCCAUUUUUACCCUUCAAAGAAAUUAUCUUUGCGGAAUACCCAUGAAGUAAUUAUAGAUAAUAUUCCACGAUCUGGCAGCUACAAGUUCAGCCACUUGGCUGAGAAAUGAAUUCCCUAUCUGCCACUACAAGACCUCAUUAUGUGCUGUACUGGUGAAUUGAUAAUGAAAAGACUUAAAAUGUGUCUGAUAGCAAAGAAGCGCCUUUCUUAGCCUGACUGGCCUACAGAGUGGGGCCCUAGGGAACAGAUGACUGAAGUCAAUGCAAAUUUCAAACAGGGUUGCUAGCGGCUUCUUAUCAUCUUCUUGGAACUCUGGGAAUGUGGAAACUUGUAAAAAGCCAACAGACAAAGAUGGAAAUACCAUAAUUAAAGGAAACAAAGAGAACUUUUCAAUUUGAUGAAGAGAAAGAACAUGGUUUAAGGCAAGGACGCCUGCCACGGCGUGGCUUGAUAAGUGGUGUGUUGCUCCAUGCCUGGGAUCCGAACCAGCGAACCCCAGGUUGCCAAAGCAGAAGGUUGCGCUGUGCUAGACUCUUCUGGAAAGUGCUUGUGAGACCUGCAGGGAUGUUUCCCCUGUCUGUGAGCAUCCCGAAACCACCACUGGAAGCAAGGCAAACCGUCGCCCACCUGGCUCCGUGUAACUGCAGACUGUGCUGGUGCUUCUCAAGCCCAAGUGGAUGGGAUUUUGUUAAAAUGACUCAGCAGGUCUGGGGGAUGGCCUGAGAUUCCAUAUUUCUACCAGGCAUCCAGGUGAUGCUGCUGCUGCUGCUGGUUCUUGAGAAACAAGGCCCUGUGUGAGCACCUUGCAAGAUAAUGCAGGGCUCUGGAGCGGCGGGAGUAAUGGAGGGGGAGAGGAGGCCGGAUACAUGCUGACUCCUCACUCAACCUGUCUGAACUGUGGAUUCCUCAUUUAAAACGUGGAAUAAUUACAAACCUUACCCCACAGAGCCGCUAUGAAAAUAGCUAAUGCUCUCAGAUUCAAGAAGGACAAAGCCAUCACCACAGAAGAUUCCCAUGACGUGGCGUUUACUCUGCUCUCCGAAAAUGAAGGAUUGGUUCAUAGGACCCUUACUGCUGGCUAAGAAAUGACAUGCAUGUGACAACGUGAUGCUCUUAUCUGUAUCAUCUUGCAAUGUUUCUUUGGAACAUUAAAAACAAAGUCAGUUAUCAUCCUGGUCUCACACGCUCCUGAGUGCUCAGUUCUACUGCAUUUGAGGCUCCCUUCACUCAGGCUUCUCAACCCCCAAGUUGAAAAGCAGCUAAAGAUCCCUUGAUGGAUAUAGUUUAGGGAAAUAGAAGUAAUUCUUGGCACAACUGCUUUUUAAUGCAACACAAGAACUGUAAUUGCCACUGGAAAGCAGAAACAUUAUGGAAUGUUACAAGAUCCAUUUGAUUUGGGAAAAAAUAUAGUACAAUUCAGCCCAAGUGGUGACUAGUAAGUUAGCAGGGAAGACAGGAGAUGGAGCAAUAAAUAAUUUUCAGUUUUUAAGUUAAAUGUUUCAAUCCUCAUGAUAUAUUUAAUUCCUAACUUUGGGAAGUAUUGUACAGUGAAUUAGCUCAUUAAAUCCAGUAAGAAAAGCCUAGCUUAGCAGCUAACUGGGGAUAAGAAGAGGGUGAAAGCAUCUAUGUUUAAGGUCUUCUCAAACAAUGAAACAGAGAUAAUAUUAAUCCAUAGCCCUUAGCAUUUUUCAGAAAGUAUCUCUGGAUUAAUUCUGAUAGACUCUUGCAAGUUAUCACACUUUCUGGAAACAUUCAUGAAUGUAGACAGAAUUUAACUUCAGUAAGGUGAUUACCUGGCUCUGUCUCUAUUUCAGACUUUUUUCUCUAAGCAGAAUGCACUCAACAGGGAAAAUAUCCUAUUCUCGGUUAAAUCUUGGAAGAUGCAAAAUGCAUAAGUGUCCAGAGAAAAAUAGGACUAUUGUUACUCUGCACAGCCCACUCCUCAAGGCGUUCCCAUGCUUUUAGAAUCGAGUUUGUCUACAGUCAGAGGGAGGUAAAGAAAGAAUUGUUGGUCUGUGGGUAGUGAGGAUUAGGAUAGGCCAGUUUUGUUUUAACAAGCCUUCCACAGGGUCCUACUCAGCAUGCUUUGGCUCAACACUUCUGUCAUCUUUGUUGUUGCUGUCAUUACUAUUAUUACUAUUAUUUUGGUCCCAGAUGGAAUAGAAAUUUUCCCAGAAUUACUAAAUAGCCAGUUGUAACGCCAUGUUCAACUAUGUCCUCUAUCUAAAUUUAGCACAGGUGCAUGCGUAACCACUGUCAGAUUUAUUACCCAUUUUCUACAAGAACAAAUCAUACUACCAGAUAUUUGUGAAUUUCAUUAAAAAAAAAAAAGUCUACCAAAUGGAAUACAGAACAUCUGACACAAGAUCUGGGGUUGAAAAAUUUUCCACUUAUAAGGCCACAUUCUGCAUUCCUUCUCUUGACAGGUAUCCAAUUUGGGUUGAAAUUCUACAUUCAGGAAAUGUCUUCUUAGUCUUCUCUCCUUAUUAGGAUGUUAUUUUUAAAAGAGAACUUAAAAAAUCUUGAGAGGUAUUU